CCUGGUGGCUCAGAGGUUAAAGCGUCUGCCUGCAAUGUGGGAGACCUAGGUUCAAUCCCUAGGUCAGGA
rnacentral:tRNA from 1 species